rnacentral:rRNA from 1 species
AUGGAAACUUUGCCACAUUCGGAGUUUAUUAAGAUAGCGGUUACACUUUGGGCGAUUUGGUCUUCGUGACGGAAAGCAAUCCACGAGGGCAUCUUCCAAAGCCCACAGGGCACACAUGCUUUUAUUCAGAGAUAUUUGGAUGACCUGGAAAUUAUUAGAGAAAGGAAACCAGCUCAUGGGGGAAGUACAACACAACAAAUGAGUAGAGCUGUCCGACCAAAGGCACCCCCGGCAGGGUCAUCCAAGUUUCAUGUUGACGCCGGAUGCCGUUCAUGGGGAGGCACUGCUGCGGCAGUGUGCAGAGAUGACCGCGGGGCUUAUCUCGGUAGCUCCGCAAUUGUUCUCCGAGGCAUUACAUAUCCGGCUACCCUUGAGGCAAUUGCGUGCCGGGAAGCAUUAUCGCUAGCGAAGGAUUUGAAUAUCCAGCGUAUGGUUAUUUCGUCUGACUCCAAGCAAGUGGUGGGCGACAUAAUCUCAGGAAACAGCGGAAGAUAUGGUACGGUUAUUAGGGAGAUUCAAAAUAGAGCUCAUCAUUUUAUGUGUAAUUUCAUGUAUGAAAGCCGAAACUCUAACGUUGAGGCUCAUAGCUUAGCAAAAACACUCUCUGUAGGCCCUGGGCGCCAUGUGUGGUUAGGCCAUUCCUAUAAUCCAAGAUGUAUACCACAAACUGUGGCUUUUGAUCGUUAA